CCUACGGGUGGCAGCAGUGAGUAAUCUUGUUCACUGGUCGCUAGCCUUCCCCCUCCCCUUCUCUUUCCUGCUGCCUUCCCUCCUUUUUUUCCCCUUCUUUUAUAAAGGAAUAAAGUGAGGCACGUGUGCCUUUUUGUAUGUACUUUAUGAAUAAGGAUCGGCUAACUCCGUGCCAGCAGCCGCGGUAAUACGGAGGAUCCGAGCGUUAUCCGGAUUUAUUGGGUUUAAAGGGAGCGUAGAUGGGUUGUUAAGUCAGUUGUGAAAGUUUGCGGCUCAACCGUAAAAUUGCAAUUGAUACUGGCAGCCUUGAGUACAGUUGAGGUAGGCGGAAUUCGUGGUGUAGCGGUGAAAUGCUUAGAUAUCACGAAGAACUCCGAUUGCGAAGGCAGCCUACUAAACUGCCACUGACAUUGAUGCUCGAAAGUGUGGGUAUCAAACAGGAUUAGAUACCCUGGUAGUC
rnacentral:rRNA from 1 species